rnacentral:lncRNA from 1 species
UUUUUUUAUUUUUUAUUUUUUAUUUUUUUGCUUUUUUUUUUAGGGCUGCACUUGUGGCAAAUGGAAGUUUCCAAGCUAGAGGUCAAAUCAGAGCUUUAGCUGCUGGCCUACACCACAGCCACACAAUGUGGUAUCUGAGCCAAGUCUGCCACCUACCUGGAAAUACUGGAUCCUUAACCCUCUGAGUGAGGCCAGGGAUCAAACCCACAUCCUCAUGGAUCCUAGUCAGGUUUGUUACCCCUGAGCCAUAACAGGAACGUCCUCUUUUGUCUCUUUAGGUAGGUUUAUUCCUAGUAUUUUAUUCUUUUUCAUGUGAUGAUAAAUGGGAUUGCUUCCCUAAUUUCUCUUUCUGAUCUCUCAUUGUUAGUGUAUAGAAGUGCAGUUGAUUUCUGUGUAUUAAUUUUGUAUCCUGCAACUUUACCAAUUCAUUGAUAAGCUCUAACAGUUUUCUGGUAGUAUCUUUAGGAUUUUCUGGGUAUAGUAUGUAGUAUGUCAUCUGCAAACAGUAAUAGUUUUACUCUUCCUUUCCAAUUUGGAUUCUUUUUCUUUUUCUUCUUUGAUUGUCAUGGCUAGGACUUCCAAAACUGUUGAAUAGUAGUGGUGAGAGCAGACAUCCUUGUCUUGUUUCUGAUCUUGAGGGAAAUCUUUCAGCUUUUCACCAUUGAGAAUGAUGUUAGCUGUGGGUUUGUCCUAUAUGGCCUUUAUUAUGUUGAGGUAGUUUCCCUCUAUGCCCACUUUCUGGAGGGUUUUUUAAUGAGAAAUGUGCGUUAGAUUUUGUCAAAAGCCUUUUCUGCAUCUAUUGAGAUGAUCAUAUGAAUUUUAUUCUUCAGUUUGUUAAUGCAGUGUAUCACACUGACUGAUGUGUGGAUAUUGAAAAUCCUUCCAUCCCUGUGAUAAGUCACAUUUGAUCAUGAUAUACAAUCCUUUCACUGUAUUGCUAGAUUUCGUUUGCCAGUAUUUUGUUGAGGAUUUUUUCUUCUCUUUCUUUUCUUUUCUUUUCUUUUUUUUUUACAAAAUAAAAUACAUAUAUUUAAACACAAUUGUAUUCACACAGAUUAUUAUAUCAUGGAUCUUAAGAAAUAGAUUAAGUGACUCCCUCUGGAGAAGUGGAAUGGAAAAUAUGCUGAGACAAAUAGGAAAUUUAUUCUAUACUUUAUCUCAUUUUGUAUGGCUUUCAUCUUUACUAUUUAGUAUUAUCUAUUACAUUUCAAUUUUUCUUUAAAAAUGAUCAAUAUAUUAACAGUGUGUAUAUUAUGUAACUAAAAUUUAUAAAGAAAGCCUUAUAUACCAUUAAAUAUUUUAUAUAGCAUAAUAAAAAGAAUAACUUAACUGGUAAAAAUAACAAAAAUAAUACACCCUCUGAAAAUAAGUAAAAUAUAAAAUGCAUAAAUUGGUUGAAAAACAGUGUAACUAUAUAAAUAUGUCUUCACAAUUUGUUACAUCUUAUUGAUUCUUCAAUACAGGCAUCACAUCAUUCUAGGUGAUGUGAUAAACAAGACAUUAUAGACCUUACAUUGUACCAUGGAGAGAAAUGGUUAUUAAUAAUACAAUUGUAGAACUGUAUUAUUUAAUUGUACAGUUGCAUUAUCUAAUUAUAAUUAGCAUAAAUUCUUUGAUGGAGAGGAAAUCAGAAUCAGCAUUCCAAGAAUGAUGUCAAAUGACCCCCUUCAUGAUGGAUUAUGUGCUUAUUUACUAUGAGAUAUAUUUCUUCUUCAGAGAUUCCUUGUUUGUGUAUCAAUUGUAGAUUUUUGGUUUGCAGUUAUUCUCAAGUUUUGAUAUAAGAGUCUAUAUGUAUAUGAGAUUGUUUUAAGUUGUUCUCUUAAAACAAAGAGAACAACAUUCCAAGAAUGUUGUCAAAUGACCCCCUUCAUGAUGGAUUAUGUGCUUAUUUACUAUGAGAUAUAUUUCUUCUUCAGAGAUUCCUUGUUUAUCAAUUGUAGAUUUUUGGUUUGCAGUUAUUCUCAAGUUUUGAUAUAAGGGUCUAUAUGUAUAUGAGAUUGUUUUAAGUUGUUCUCUUAAUUGCAAGUUCAUCUGCAGUGUCCUGCAUUUGUACCCACCUCUUCUCAUGCUUUCUGAUUUUGGCGGUAUAAUUGUGCAUAGAUGAUUUCGUAUCUUUACUGUAUAUAUACCUUUACUGGUGAACCUUGUCAUUUGUGGAAUUUUUGUUUCCUGUUUCUGUCUUUUCUUUUCUGCCUAGAGAAGUUCCUUUAGUAUUUAUUGUAAGGCUGGUUUAGUGUUGCUGAAUUCUCUCAACUUUUGCCUAUCUGUGAAGGUUUUGAUUUCUCCUUCAAAUAUGAAUGAGAGCCUUGCUGGGUAAAGUAGUCUUGGUUGGAGGUUUUUUCCUUUCAUCACAUUAAGUAUAUCAUGUCACUCCCUUCUAGCCUGCAGAGUUUCUGCUGAAAAAUCUGCCAGUAACCUUAUUGGGGUUCCCUUAUAUGUUAUUUGUUUCGUUUCCCUAGCUGCUUUCAAGAUUUUGUCUUUAAUUUUGGUGAGUUUGAUUAAUAUGUGUCUCGGUAUAUUCCUCCUUGGGUUUAUUUUAUAUGGUACUCAUCAUGCUUCCUGGAUGUGAGUGAGUGGUUCCUUUCCCAUGUUAGGGAAGUUUUUGGCUGUUAUCUCUUAGAAUAUUUUUUCUGUCCCCUUCUCUCUCUCUCCUCCUUCUGGCACCCCUAUAAUACGGAUGUUGUUGUGUUUCACGUUGUCCCAGAGUUCUCUGAGACUCUCUUCAUUUCUUUUCAAUCUUUUUUCUCUCUUCUGUUCUGCAUCUGUAAUUUCCACUAAUCUGUCCUCCACCUCACUUAUUCGUUCUUCUGCCUCCUAUAUUCUGCUGUUAGCUGCUUCUAGUGAAUGUUUUAUUUCAGUUACUGUAUUUUGCAUCUCUUCUUGUUUAAGUUUUAUAUCUCAUAUCUCUUUGGUCAGUGUUUCUUGUAAGUUAUCCAUCUUUGCCUCCAGUAUAUUUCCAAUGUCUUGCAUCAUCUUCAGCAUCAACAUUCUAAAGUCCUCUUCCCCGGAGGCUAAGAAUCUCCUCCUCGCUUAGCUGAUUUUCUGGGGUUUUUCUUUCUCCCUCAUCUGAGUUAUAGUUCUCUGUCUUUUCCUUUUUAUAGGUUUUUGAUGUGGUGACCUUUUUACAGAUAAUAGGGUUGUAUCCUCUCUUACUUCUGGUGUCUGCCCCCCUUGUGGCUGAAGUCGGUAUGGGGGCUUGCUGUAGGCUUCCUGAUGGGGGGGAGGCGGAGCUGAUGCCUGCCCACUGGUAGGUGGAGGUGAUUCUAAUCCCUCUGGUGGGUGGGGCUUAGUCUCUGGAUGGGAUUAGAGGCAGCUGUGUGCCUGAGGGCUCUUUAGGUAGCCUGUUUACUUAGGGGCGGGGCUGUGAUCCCACCUGAAUUGUUGUUUACCCUGGGGCUUCUCAGCACUGACUGACCAGUGGGGCCAGAUUUUCCCAAAAUAGCCACCUCCAGAGAAAGGCACAGUUCCCAAGAGGUUUGCUUCCAAUGUCCUUCCCCCACAACAAGCCACAUUCACCCCUGUUUUCCCAGGAUGUCCUCCAAGAACUGCAGUCAGGUUUGACCCAGAUUCCUAUGGAGACCUGGCUCUGCCCAGGGACUCAGUGCACGUUAAAGUCUGUGUGUGCCUUUUAAGAAUGGGGUCUCUGUUUCCCCCAGUCCUGUGGAGCUCCUGCACACAAGCCUCACUGGCCUUCAAUGCCAGAUGCUCCAGGGGCUCUUUCUCCCAGUGCCAGAUCCCCGUGUGUGAGGGUUUGAUGUGGGGCUCAGAACUCUCACUCCUGUAGCUGAGUCUCUCUGAACCAGUUUUCAGUGUGGAGCUUCCCACCCAGGAGGUAUGGGGUGGUUUAUAUCACAAAAUCACCCCUCCUACCUCUUGAUGUGGCCUUCUCUUUUUCUUCUGGAGUAGGGUAUCUUUUUUAAGGUUUCAGGUCCAUUUGGGUGGAGAUUGCUCACCUUUUAGUUGUGAAUUUUGUUAUUUUUAGGAGAGAAGUUGAGCUCCAGUCCUUCUGUUCUGCCGUCUUAAUCCUCCUCGUUUUUAUGUCUAUGUUCAUCAUUGAUACUGGAAGGUUAUUUUCUUUUUUGUGGUAUCUUUGUCUUGUUUUGGUAUCAGGGUCAUGGUGGCCUCAUAGAAUGAGUUUAGGAGUGUUCCUUUACUGUUUUUUGGAAUAGUUUCAGAAGUAUAGGCAUUAACUUUUCUCUAAAUUUCUGAUAAAAUUCACAUGUGAAGCCAUCUGGUCAUGGAUUUUUGUUUGUUGGAAGUUUUUGAAUCAAAGUUUCAAUUUCAGUACUUGUGAUUGGUCUGUUCAUCUUUUCUAUUUCUUCCUUAUUUAGUAUUGGAAGAUUGUACCUUUCUAAGAAUGUGUCCAUUUCUUCUAGGUUGUCCAUUUUGUUGGCAUAUAGUUGUUUGUAGCAGUUUCUUUUGCUCCUUUGUAUUUAUGUGAUGUCUGUUUUAACUUCUCCUUUUUCAUUUCUAAUUUUAUUGAUUUGAGUCCUCUCUUUUUUCUUCAUGUGUCUGGCUAAAGGUUUAUCAAUUUUGUUGAUCUUUUUCAAGAACCAGCUUUUGGUUUCAUUGAUCCUUUCUGUCGUUUUCUUUGUGUCUAUUUCAUUUUUUUCUGCUCUGCUCUUUAUGAUCCCUUUCCUUCUGCUAACUUUGGGUUUUGUCUGUUCUCUCUAGUUGCUUUAGGUGUAAAGUUGGGUUGUUUAUUGAUAUUUUUCUUGUUUCCUGAGGUAAACCUGUAUUGCUCUAAACUUCCCUCUUAAAAUGCUUUUCUGCAUCCCUUAGGUUUUAGAUUGUUGUGUCUUUGUUGUCAUUUGCUUCUAGGUAUUUUUGUUUCCUCUUUGAUUUCUUCAAUGAUCCAUUGGUUGUUUAGUAGCAUGUUGUUUGGUCUCCAUAUGUUUGUGUUUUUUGCAUUUUUUUUCUUUAUCCUUCAUCUACAUCAUAUUUCUCUGCCUUUUCAUUGUGUAUAUGUCUCCUUUUUGCAGCCUAAAUGGCUGUAGACUCUCUUGCUUCUGGUGUCUGCCCCCUUGUGGAUGACGUUGUUACAGGGACUUGUUUCAGGCUUCCUGAUGGAUAAGACUGGUGCCUGUCUCCUGGUAGGAGGAGCUGACUCUUAUCCCUGUGAUAGUUGGGACUUUGAGUGUGAUUGGAGGUGGCUUUGUGGCUAGGAGGACUUUAAGCAGCUUGUUUGCUGAUAGAUGGAGCUGUGUUCCACCCUGUUUGUUGUUUGGCUUGAGCUGUCUCAGUCUGGAUGGGUAGAGCCAGAUUUUUCCCAAGUAGCCACCUCCAGGGGCGUUCACACUGAUGAUUAUUCCUGAGACCUUUAUCUCCACGUCAUUCCCCCACAGCAAGCUAUAGCCAUCCUGUUUCCCUAGGAGAUCCUCCAAGAUCCGCAGGUUGGUCUGAUCCAGAUUUUUAUGGAAUCUCUGCUGUCCUUGGACCCAGUGCACAUGAAAGCAUGUGUUUGCCCUUCAAGGGUGAAGUCUCUGUUUUCCCCCAGUCCUGUGGACCUCCUGCACACAAGAUCUGCUGACCUUCAGUGCCAAACGCUCUAGGAGCUCCUUCUCCCAAUGCAGACCCCAGUUGUGGGAACGGACCUGGGGCUCAGAACUUUCACUCUUGUGGGAGAGACACUGCAAUAGUAAUUUUCCAGCCUGUGGGUUGCCCACCUGAUGGGUAUGGGAUUGCUUACAUUGGGAAAGCACACUUCCUACUGUCUUGAUGUGGCUUGUCUUUGUGUAUAGGAUAUCUUUUUUGGUAGUUUCCAGUCUGUACUGUUGAUGGUUAUUCAGCAGUUGGUUGUAAUUUUAUUGUUUUUGUGAGCUAAGGUAAGCUUAAGUCCUUCUAUUCCACCAUCUUAACCCUUCAACCUAAUCAUUCUUAACAUCAUUAAAUGUGAGUAAGCAUUAUGUGCUGCUUGAUUUGAUGCAGCAGGAAGUACCCAGCACUGCCUAUGAAAGUGUUUCUCGCCCAAAAUUUGGACUAGAAUCUAAUGAAGCCUGUAGAUAUAAACUACUAGUUUUGUUUUGUUUUUUUUUGGGGGGGGGUCUUUUUAGAGCUACACUAGCAGCAUAUGAAGGUUCCCAGACUAGGUGUCUAAUUGGAGCUGUAGCCACGGCCUACGCCACAGCACCUCGGGAUCUGAGUCACGUCUGUGACCUACACCAUAGCUCAUGGCAAUGCCGGAUCCUUAACCCACUGAUCGAGGCCAGGGAUCUAACCUGCGUUGUCAUGGACGCUAGUCAGAUUCAUUUCUGCUGAGCCUCAACAGGAACUACUAAACUACCAGUUUAUAUGAAAUAAAAAAAAGAUAAGUAAAUGCCAACUCUCAGAAGUAACCAUCUAAACCCAAAUGAUGUCCUGUACUUUUUUUUUUCUUCUUUUAGGGCCACGCCUUUGGCAUAUGGAAGUUCCCAGGCUAGGAGUGGAUCAGAGCUACAGCUACCAGCCUGUGCCAUAGAGACAGCAAUGUGAGAUCUGAGUCACUUCUGAGACCUAUGUCGCUGCAGCUCAUGGCAACACCAGAUCCUUAACCCACUAAGCAAGGCCAGGAAUCAAACCCACAUCCUCACGGAUACUAGUUGUGUUCUUAACCCUCUGAGCCAUCCAGAGGGUGGAUCUAUUCUAUAGACAACUGGUCCUGUUU